rnacentral:rRNA from 1 species
UGGGGGAUAUUGCGCAAUGGGGGAAACCCUGACGCAGCAACGCCGCGUGAAGGAUGAAGGUCUUCGGAUUGUAAACUUUUGUCUUCAGGGAAGAUAAUGACGGUACCUGAGGAGGAAGCCACGGCUAACUACGUGCCAGCAGCCGCGGUAAUACGUAGGUGGCGAGCGUUGUCCGGAAUUACUGGGUGUAAAGGGUGCGUAGGCGGGCUGUUAAGUCAGAUGUGAAAUACCGAAGCUCAACUUCGGGGCUGCAUUUGAAACUGAUGGUCUUGAGUGAGGUAGAGGCAAGCGGAAUUCCCAGUGUAGCGGUGAAAUGCGUAGAUAUUGGGAGGAACACCAGUGGCGAAGGCGGCUUGAUGGGCCUUAACUGACGCUGAGGCACGAAAGCAUGGGGAGCAAACAGG